rnacentral:lncRNA from 11 species
CUUUGCAGGAGUUUGCAGGCCAGGUCACAAGGAAAGCUAAGUUGUCGGUGACAACAAACUAGUCAUUGCUGAACAUUGUGUAAAAUUACCAUUUGGCUUAGAGUUAUAUAAACAAAAAGUUAGUGGUUGGCUUUACAUUUGUGGCUCUCAUGGCCAGAUAUUUGUUUUUGGUUCCUGGCUUCUCCCUGCCCUUUAGUCCUCUCGCUCCUGAAGCCUUUGAAGAGAUCAAAUGCCUCGCUGGUCAAGCUUGGAAACAACGCAUUCAAGAAAAUGCAAAGGGUUCGACAACCUAUGCUGGAGCUUAUGGAAACAAUGGGCCAGAUGCACUGCCUGUCCGUAGCUGCGUCAUCCCCUCGUCUCCUACCAGGGCGCAUAAGCCUCAUCCAACUGAAAUCUUUUUAAUAAACCAGCUUCAUCACCUACCUGGACCUUAUGGCAUUCCAAAACGCAGAGAAGCAGCUCACUUUGGGUUUUGUCCACGUGAAGUGAAGAAAUUUCAAGUGUCUCCAAACAAAGUUAAAUAUAAAGCAGCUGCUGUCGCAUCCCCGGUCACACCACUCGAUGUAAUUCAGCAAAGGAUAAAACAUGGCAAUUUAAAUGUUAUUGCAGGGAGCCAAAGUGGAGAGGGAAAAAAAUUAAUCUCAUCUUCCAGUGAGGAUAUGCUGACUGGCUGGCCUGUGAAAGAGAAUGAUCAUCCCAUUGAGGUGCCAACAGGCAGGGAGGCCGAAGCAUGAUCACCUCUACCAUAACUAGCUGCACAUCUAUGGUAAUAACAAAACCGGGGCAAGCACUUGUUUGCAUCUAAGAAUUGCCUACCGCCAUUAGAAAAGAAGAAGUCAAAUGUGGAAAAGAAACCCAAUAUAAAUGUAUUGACAUUUUUAUGCAAAAAACAUUAUCUAAGGGAGUGGGAUGCAUUUAAUCAAGUUUUGUUUUAUGGUUUAUAUGUGUAUGUAUGUAUAUCUCUAUAUAUCUUCAGUUCAUGAAAAAACUACAUAUUACUAGAAGCAUAUUGCAAAAGAUAAGUGUUGUACAGCAUUAUUUGAUUCUCCAGAGCAGGGGUCCUCAAACUUUUUAAGUGGAGGGCCGAUUCAUGGUCCCUCAGAUUGUUGAGGGGCCGAAUUAUCAUUUGGAAAAAAAAAAAAAACCAAACAAAUUCCUAUGCUUACUGCACAUGUCUUAUUUGUAGUGCAAAAAACCAAAAAACCAAAAAACAAAAAAACACCAGCAACAAUUACUUAUUUAUUUACUACAUUUAUACCCCACCCUCUCUCACCCCGAAGGGGACUCAGAGCGGCUUACAAGUUGUAUGUACAUACAAUAUAUUAUAUUAUUAGCAUAGCACAAUAUUAG